rnacentral:rRNA from 1 species
UACGAAGGGGGCGAGCGUUGUUCGGAUUUACUGGGCGUAAAGCGCGCGUAGGCGGCUGGAUAAGUCGAUUGUGAAAGCCUUGGGCUCAACCUGAGAAUUGCAGUCGAGACUGUUCGGCUAGAGGUUGGUAGGGGAGAGCGGAACUCUUGGUGGAGCGGUGAAAUGCGUAGAUAUCAAGAGGAACACCGGUGGCGAAGGCGGCUCUCUGGUCCAAUCCUGACGCUGAGGAGCGAAAAGCCUAGGGGGAGCAAACGGG